CUGCCGGCGCUGGGGCCCGCGCUGGACCUGGAGGCUCUGGAACGGGGCGAUGCCGAGGCCCUGGCAGCUGUCCCGGUGACGGUGGCGGGGCUCGGGCUGGCUGCGAGCGAUGCUGAGGAGGACGGGGCAGCAGAAGCCAUGGAGGACGACAGCGCUGACCUGGAGCUCAGCACGAUGACAGUGGAGCUCAAGCCCCGGGUGAAGUCGGGGGGCACUGGGGGGGAUCCAGUGCCCCGAGCCCCCAGUCUGGAGGAGGUGGCUGCGCUCCCCCCUCUGCUCCAGGGCCAGGGGCUGCGGGCAGCCGGGAAAAGGAGGAAAAAACUGCAAAAAAGAGCAGAGAAAAUCGCCACGAAGCUGUCGGAGACACUGGAGGCAGCCAUGCAGUUCUGAGGCUUUUAUAAAUUAAAUCGCUGUAUUUAAAUGAGAAACAGUUCAAUCUUUUCAGAAACAAAAUAACUAAGGGAGCAGGGAGGGCUGUAGGGGUGGUCUGGGAGGUCUCUCAGGUAAGAGAUUGAAAUGUGGAGGUUUUUGGGGGUCCUUGUCCCUGGAAGGGUUUUGGGGGGGUCUCACUGCAUCUUACAGCUGGGGGGGUGAGUGGGGAUCACUAAAAACUUAUCAGUUUUUACAGCUGAUAUAGAAAAUGUAACGCUCAGCCACUUAGUGAACCUCAGAACUGGGGAGGGCUCAGCAUUAGGGUUGCACCCCAUUAUUAAAGACACUCCACCUCCACAACCUCCCCAAUUCCUGUAGCACCCAGUACCCCACUUUGACACUAAAUGAACCCCCCCCAACCUUCCAGAGCACCCCAAAAGCCACCUCGGACACCCCAAAAGCCACCUCGGACACCCCAAAAGCCACCUCGGACACCCCACACACUCCCUGAGGUCCCACAGCUCCCCAAAACCCCCUCGGACCCUCCCAAAAAGCAGAGGGUGCCUCCCUAAGCCGUCACCCUUAGCCCUCACAGCACCCUCACCUGUAUAGGCAGGGUGUGAAGGUUCCCCCGGGAUUUUGGGGUGCCCCCAGUGCCGGGCUGGGGAGGGGGAACGCGGCCACCGAGCUCCCCUCGGCCUCCACCCACCAUUCUGCCACCUUUUCCUCCGCCUGUGAGGAGCAGCAGCCACAGGUGGUGGUGAGGGCAGCACAGGUGUUUCAAAUAACGGCUGAUGAGGCGGAGGGAGGGGUGGAAGGGGCCGUCCCGCCUCGUUUUGGGCUGGUUCGUGGGGGUUUUUUUGCAGCGCUUGGCGCCAUUUUGCCGCCGUGAGGGGAGGGGGGGGGCG
ensembl:lncRNA guanine nucleotide-binding protein-like 3-like protein